CGAGACCUCAGGUCAGGCGGGGCUACCCGCUGAAUUUAAGCAUAUCAAUAAGCGGGAGGAAAAAGAAACUAACAAGGAUUCCCUUAUUAACGG
rnacentral:rRNA from 1 species